GACGAACGCUGGCGGCGUGCUUAACACAUGCAAGUCGAACGGAAAGGCCCUGCUUUUGUGGGGUGCUCUAGUGGCGAACGGGUGAGUAACACGUGAGUAACCUGCCCUUUACUUUUGGAUAACUUCAGGAAACUGGGGCUAAUACCGGAUAGGAGCUCCUGCUGCAUGGUGUGGGUUGGAAAGUUUCGGCGGUUGGGGAUGGACUCGCGGCUUAUCAGCUUGUUGGUGGGGUAGUGGCUUACCAAGGCUUUGACGGGUAGCCGGCCUGAGAGGGUGACCGGCCACAUUGGGACUGAGAUACGGCCCAGACUCCUACGGGAGGCAGCAGUGGGGAAUAUUGCACAAUGGGCGGAAGCCUGAUGCAGCAACGCCGCGUGCGGGAUGACGGCCUUCGGGUUGUAAACCGCUUUCGCCUGUGACGAAGCGUGAGUGACGGUAAUGGGUAAAGAAGCACCGGCUAACUACGUG
rnacentral:rRNA from 1 species